AACACAACACACCACGUGGAGAGAAGCAAGGUGUGGAGUACCCAAGCCUCUCACAGUCCAUGCUAGUAGACUCACCCUGCAUGUGGAGAUCUCCCAAAAUGCACGGAGGUUAUUCCAGAGCUGCAGGACAGAGUACUUGAGGCCAUUGGUGAACAGAAAGCUGAGGUUGAACAAAGCCAAGAAUUGAUAGCUGCCCAAGGUGUAAGCAAGAUUCACAAUGAUGAGGUCAUUGUGACGUGUGCAAUGUGUCCACUGGUCUUGGCCUUCCUGACCAAGGCAGCCACACAAAGGAAAUUCCACGUUAUUGUUGCCGAACGUGCCCCUAAAUAUGAUGUAAGGUGUUUUAUGCGUCUCUUUCACGUCAUCGUGUCUGAUGUGCACAAUACAUAACACAGGGACUGCCACAUGUAGGGGUGAUGGCUUCUUGCAGCUUCCUUUAUUUUAUUAUGUUCUUAUGUUCUCAAUACAUCUUUUACUUGUGCAGGGUCACCCAGUGGCAAAAGCUUUAUGUACUGCUGGAAUUGAGACAACAUUAAUUCAAGACUCUGCAGUGUUCCCCAUCAUGUCACGUGUCAACAAGGUCAUCAAAGGUCAUCGUUGGCACCGAGACGGUGGUGACCAACGGAGGCAUUGAGACCUUUGUUGGUGCAGCCUCUCUUGCCUCACCACCAAAGUUUUAUUCUGUUCCACUGUAUGUGUGCACUCCCACAUACAAAUUUAGCUUGAUGGGCUGUGAAGAAAUAAGCCACCAAACCACCACUUCUAUUAUCCCAGAGGGAACAAAGUUUUGGCCGUCUGUAAAUACUGCGCUGACUCAGCUAGAUUACGUUCCUCCAGAAAAAAAUGUCACCAGUUUGAUAACUAACAAUCGAGGUACUGCACCAUCCUACGUGUACCGGCAGCUUAGCGAACUGUACCGUCCCACUUCUUGUGUAACAAGAAGGUAACAGCUAUAAUCCUUGCAAAUAAGGAAUAAGAGAAAAGAGACACACCUGCCAUUUGUACUGUUAUGCUGUAGUGUUCUGUCAUUUUUUUCCUCUUUUAUCCUUGAACCAUUUUUGGUCAUUCAUGUUUCUAAAAAUUAUUAUACAAAAAUGUUGAGCUUAAUAUGUUUGGUGUAGUUUUUUGUAACAUGUGUUAUUAUUGUUAAUGUGUGUGGUUCCCCUCAGGAAGAAUGUUGCAGUAUUAGCAGUAAUGUUACAGCCAAUGGAAGUGUCUGUAUUGUGCUUUGGUGGGAGGUUAAUUUGAUGUAUUUUUAGAGUUGUGCAGGAUAUUAUAGCAAGCCCUCAAAAUAAAGAAAAUAACUAUAGAAAA